ACAACCUUAGCGUCAUUUGAGCGUGAUACUCACUCCUAAACUGCAAUCGAACUCAAUCUCAUUGUUGGUCUGCCAAAAGAACGUCAAGUUUCACCAAGUAAUUUAGUGACAUGAUUUCCACUUUCAUUCUUCAUUCAACUGGAAGCUGUUUCUCAUAUGGAAGGUACAUACCCUUAUUUCUUUUUAGUAAAUUCAAUUUGUCUUAUUGGAGGAAUUAAAUUUUUUUCUCGCUGUUUGAUUUUUUUCUCUUGCUAUUUGUGGGAGUAAUUAUUUUUAACCCACUAUUGUUUGAUUCUUUUCUCUCACUGUUUGAUUCUUUUCCUUUUCCUAUUUUCUCGUCAAUGUUUGAUGCAUAAAUAAAUAAGUAUUGCAACACCAUCACAACUAAGUUCAGAACUAUCUUCUAUUUUUGGCUUGUUAUCUAUUGAUUUAGAAGUCGCUAUUGUUUGAGACAUGAACUAAUAUUAAUGAAUGCAAUUUCUUUACUCUUUGUUUUUUUUUUUGAAAUCAUGCGCACUUCUUCUUGAAUAAGAAAAGCUAGUGCACAUGUUUCACCUUUUGUAACUCAUUAGUCAUUAACAUUAGCCACACAAAGUAACAAUUUUUCUCUCUCUUAGUCUUUGGUGCUUUACUGAAUUUUUCUCUCUCUCUCUCGAAUCACACAGUUAAUUAUACAUUAGUGUUAGAUUUUUUCUCUUUCACUCUUUGGUGCUUUACUAAAUGUUUCAGUUAUAUAUUCUUACACCCUACAUUUUUUACUCAUAGAUUACAUAAUGACAUCUCAAGAAAGUGAUAGUUGGUCAACACAGCUUGUUACAGAUUUUGAUGUAACAUCUAAUGGUCAUGAUAUUCAAGAAUUACAAAGUGAACAUUUGGGUCAUGCUGAAAAAACCAAUGACUCAACUCCUUACAAAGGACAAAUAUUUAACUCUGACGAAAAUGCAUACAAUUUUUACUAUUUAUUUGCAAAGAGAUGUGGUUUUUAAGUUAGAAGAGGUCACACUUAUAUCAGUUAGAAGAGGUCAAUUUGUCCAAUUAUAUUGAAUUCCUCACAUAGACCCAUCUGGAAUAAUUGUGGGGUUAACCAAAGCACUGACAUAGGAGUAAUUCCUAUUGGAGUUGGAUUUGAAAGUACCACAUUUCUUCUCACUUUUUCAACCAUGCCAGCUACUACCAUGGCCAAAAUAGAGAACACCAUGCCAAUUCCAAUUCUUUGGAGGAGAGUCAUACCACCUUCAUGCUUAGUGAUUUUUCUUAGUGUUGACACAAAGACCAUAUCAUAGAAUUCUUAAGACUGUGAAUGUUCCUUGUUGUGACAUGGAAGUUAGACUAAGGAUACCAGCAACCCAAAUUGGGAUAAUUAUUGCUAAGCAUUUAACCUCUUCUACUUGUUGUAUGCUAGUAAGUUUCCACUUGUUUACUCUGCUCUCAUCUGGGUUUACCUCACCCUCCGUUAUUAGAGCUGCAAAAUUUUAUUGAAAACCCCAAUAUCUAUUAAAGUAAAUUUAAAAACUCUUUAAUAAAACAUUAAGGUUAUUUUUGUCCAAAAUAUUUGGUAUUCGAUGCUAACAUGUACCUAACUAAAAAAACACAUUCCUUAGAAAACCUCACAUAUAUAAUUGAGAAGUCUUAUAAUAUCAAGGUAAGUAUAAUAUUUUUAAGAACAACUAUUAUUAUUAGUAUUAUAUUAGAUAUGGAAAAAAAUUUCUUAGAUGUAGAUGAUUAUUAUAUGAAAUAUUAAUUUCUAUUUCGGUGAUGAAGAUGACAUUUAGUUAUGCGAUAAUUAUGAUGAGGAGGAGGUUGACAUUUUUAGUAGCCAACCUCUUAGCGUAACGUAUGCUGCAUCAUUUUAGACAUUAAUUAUGAGGGUGAUUGUCAACAUGGAUUUUUAACCAAUUUAAUGAAUGAUAAUGAUUUGUUUGUCAAUAUGUAAUUUGAGUCUAAAGAAGCAAAAUAAUAGAACAAUUUCAUAUUAACAAUUCAUUUUACUACAUUAUCGUAGAGUCAAUGUUAUUUAGAUAUGUGGCCAUUGUAAACAUUUUGUUUCCGGAUGGCAAUGGUGAAUUCGUGCAUUUGUUAAUGUAAAACAUGAUAUCCACUAUUGUUUCCCAAAAUCACACCAAACUAAACUCAUCAUUCAUUUCAAAUCGUAUUACUAAUUUGGUUUUCGAAGAUCACGAUUUACCAAUUAAGGUAUUUGUCAAGGAAGUUGUAAGUCGUUUUGGCUACACGCUAACGUCGAAAAGCUUGGACUAUAAAGAAAAUAACAAUGGCCUGAAUUUAUGGUGGCGGGAAUGGAUCAUAGAAUGAGUUACCAUUUUGGAUGAACAUUGUCCAAAAUUUUGCAGUGGGUACAAUUGUCAAAUAUGAAGUGUCUCGUCACUUUGUAGAUAUAUAAAAUACCCUAGUAGUUUUAGUUUUGAUAGGAUAUUCUACGCUUUCAAACCAUGUAUUCAAGAGUUUGUAUAUUGCAAACCAAUUCUACAAGUGGAUGGGGUAUUUUGACCAAAAAAUAUACUAGAAUAUUGCUAAUACCUAGUUCAUAAGAUGGUAACAUGCGUAUAAUUACAACUGUCUUUAUCAUAAUUGAAGGAGAAAUGAAAGAAGCUUAAGAGUGACUUUUCUACGAUCUUUGGACUUAUGUUACCUCACAACCAAAUAUAUGUGUAAUAUCAUAUAGAUGUAGAGGUUUGUUGGCUGCACUUCGCAGUGAGCUGCCAAGAUGGUCUAAUACACAAUCAGUUGAUUGUAUUCGUCAUCUUACUAACAAUUUAAACAAGGAGUUUCGAGAUUCUGAUCUUAAAGAGAAAGUUAUUCAAAUGAGCAUGUAUUUAUUUAUUUUUAAUUUAAAAUAUUCAUUUAUUUGCAAAGAGAUGUGGUUUUUAAGUUAGAAGAGGUCACACUUAUAUCAGUUAGAAGAGGUCAAUUUGUCCAAUUAUAUUGAAUUCCUCACAUAGACCCAUCUGGAAUAAUUGUGGGGUUAACCAAAGCACUGACAUAGGAGUAAUUCCUAUUGGAGUUGGAUUUGAAAGUACCACAUUUCUUCUCACUUUUUCAACCAUGCCAGCUACUACCAUGGCCAAAAUAGAGAACACCAUGCCAAUUCCAAUUCUUUGGAGGAGAGUCAUACCACCUUCAUGCUUAGUGAUUUUUCUUAGUGUUGACACAAAGACCAUAUCAUAGAAUUCUUAAGACUGUGAAUGUUCCUUGUUGUGACAUGGAAGUUAGACUAAGGAUACCAGCAACCCAAAUUGGGAUAAUUAUUGCUAAGCAUUUAACCUCUUCUACUUGUUGUAUGCUAGUAAGUUUCCACUUGUUUACUCUGCUCUCAUCUGGGUUUACCUCACCCUCCGUUAUUAGAGCUGCAAAAUUUUAUUGAAAACCCCAAUAUCUAUUAAAGUAAAUUUAAAAACUCUUUAAUAAAACAUUAAGGUUAUUUUUGUCCAAAAUAUUUGGUAUUCGAUGCUAACAUGUACCUAACUAAAAAAACACAUUCCUUAGAAAACCUCACAUAUAUAAUUGAGAAGUCUUAUAAUAUCAAGGUAAGUAUAAUAUUUUUAAGAACAACUAUUAUUAUUAGUAUUAUAUUAGAUAUGGAAAAAAAUUUCUUAGAUGUAGAUGAUUAUUAUAUGAAAUAUUAAUUUCUAUUUCGGUGAUGAAGAUGACAUUUAGUUAUGCGAUAAUUAUGAUGAGGAGGAGGUUGACAUUUUUAGUAGCCAACCUCUUAGCGUAACGUAUGCUGCAUCAUUUUAGACAUUAAUUAUGAGGGUGAUUGUCAACAUGGAUUUUUAACCAAUUUAAUGAAUGAUAAUGAUUUGUUUGUCAAUAUGUAAUUUGAGUCUAAAGAAGCAAAAUAAUAGAACAAUUUCAUAUUAACAAUUCAUUUUACUACAUUAUCGUAGAGUCAAUGUUAUUUAGAUAUGUGGCCAUUGUAAACAUUUUGUUUCCGGAUGGCAAUGGUGAAUUCGUGCAUUUGUUAAUGUAAAACAUGAUAUCCACUAUUGUUUCCCAAAAUCACACCAAACUAAACUCAUCAUUCAUUUCAAAUCGUAUUACUAAUUUGGUUUUCGAAGAUCACGAUUUACCAAUUAAGGUAUUUGUCAAGGAAGUUGUAAGUCGUUUUGGCUACACGCUAACGUCGAAAAGCUUGGACUAUAAAGAAAAUAACAAUGGCCUGAAUUUAUGGUGGCGGGAAUGGAUCAUAGAAUGAGUUACCAUUUUGGAUGAACAUUGUCCAAAAUUUUGCAGUGGGUACAAUUGUCAAAUAUGAAGUGUCUCGUCACUUUGUAGAUAUAUAAAAUACCCUAGUAGUUUUAGUUUUGAUAGGAUAUUCUACGCUUUCAAACCAUGUAUUCAAGAGUUUGUAUAUUGCAAACCAAUUCUACAAGUGGAUGGGGUAUUUUGACCAAAAAAUAUACUAGAAUAUUGCUAAUACCUAGUUCAUAAGAUGGUAACAUGCGUAUAAUUACAACUGUCUUUAUCAUAAUUGAAGGAGAAAUGAAAGAAGCUUAAGAGUGACUUUUCUACGAUCUUUGGACUUAUGUUACCUCACAACCAAAUAUAUGUGUAAUAUCAUAUAGAUGUAGAGGUUUGUUGGCUGCACUUCGCAGUGAGCUGCCAAGAUGGUCUAAUACACAAUCAGUUGAUUGUAUUCGUCAUCUUACUAACAAUUUAAACAAGGAGUUUCGAGAUUCUGAUCUUAAAGAGAAAGUUAUUCAAAUGAGCAUGUAUUUAUUUAUUUUUAAUUUAAAAUAUUCUAUAUAUUUUGAAUUUUAUUGAUCAUUUAUAUUUUUUAUAGGAUAUGAGUUGAUGCGGUCACAUUUUGAGAAGAUGUCUAGUGUGUUGCAUGAAAAUAGUCUCAGGGCAGGUGGAUGGUUGGACUAAAUCCUUAAAGAAAAUGGACCCAAUCUUACAAUGAAGAGAUGCACAAUGCGUAGGAAACGAACCGGAAGACCAACCUUCAUUCUAAUCAUGUUAUGCAUAGGAAACGAAAUGGAAGACAAAAGGCUACACAAAUACAUAAUGAGAUGAAUGAAGUUCAAUCUGAACAUAUUUAAAAUAUAGAUGAUGUAGGACAUAAUGACAUAACAUGAAAACGUGUCUAUUUCGAAUAAAAAAGUGAGUGAGAGUUUUAGGCAACCCAG
rnacentral:lncRNA from 1 species